rnacentral:rRNA from 1 species
CAGCACCUCAAGUGGUCAGGAUGAUUAUUGGGCCUAAAGCAUCCGUAGCCGGCGCUGUAAGUUUUCGGUUAAAUCUGUACGCUCAACGUACAGGCUGCCGGGAAUACUGCAGCGCUAGGGUGUGGGAGAGGUAGACGGUACUCGGUAGGAAGGGGUAAAAUCCUUUGAUCUAUUGAUGACCACCUGUGGCGAAGGCGGUCUACCAGAACACGUCCGACGGUGAGGGAUGAAAGCUGGGGGAGCAAACCGGAUUAGAUACCCGAGUAGUCC